rnacentral:rRNA from 1 species
GACGAACGCUGGCGGCGUGCUUAACACAUGCAAGUCGAACGGAAAGGCCCCUUUGGGGGUACUCGAGUGGCGAACGGGUGAGUAACACGUGAGUAACCUGCCCUUGACUUCGGGAUAACUUCAGGAAACUGGGGCUAAUACCGGAUAGGAAUCCUUGCUGCAUGGGGGGGGUUGGAAAGCUUCGGCGGUUUUGGGUGGACUCGCGGCUUAUCAGCUUGUUGGUGGGGUAGUGGCUUACCAAGGCUUUGACGGGUAGCCGGCCUGAGAGGGCGACCGGCCACAUUGGGACUGAGAUGCGGCCCAGACUCCUACGGGAGGCAGCAGUGGGGAAUAUUGCACAAGGGGCGGAAGCCUGAUGCAGCAACGCCGCGGGCGGGAGGACGGCCUUCGGGUUGUAAACCGCUUUCAGCAGGGGCGAAGCUUGUGGUGACGGUACCUGCAGAAGAAGCACCGGCUAACUACGUG